UACAGAGGGGGCAAGCGUUGUUCGGAAUUACUGGGCGUAAAGGGCGCGUAUGCGGCCUGCUAAGUCGAACGUGAAAUCCCCGGGCUCAACCCGGGAACUUCGUCCGAUACUGGCUGGCUUGAAUCCGGGAGAGGGAUGCGGAAUUCCAGGUGUAGCGGUGAAAUGCGUAGAUAUCUGGAGGAACACCGGUGGCGAAGGCGGCAUCCUGGACCGGCAUUGACGCUGAGGCGCGAAAGCCAGGGGAGCAAACGGG
rnacentral:rRNA from 1 species